rnacentral:rRNA from 1 species
CAGUCGCCGCGGGAAAACGAAGGGUGCAAGCGUUACUCGGAAUUACUGGGCGUAAAGCGUGCGUAGGUGGUGGUUUAAGUCCGUUGUGAAAGCCCUGGGCUCAACCUGGGAAUUGCAGUGGAUACUGGGUCACUAGAGUGUGGUAGAGGAUAGUGGAAUUUCCGGUGUAGCAGUGAAAUGCGUAGAGAUCGGAAGGAACAUCUGUGGCGAAGGCGACUAUCUGGGCCAACACUGACACUGAGGCACGAAAGCGUGGGGAGCAAACAGGAUUAGAUACCCCGGUAGUCCCUGUCUCUUAUAC